rnacentral:rRNA from 1 species
UAGGGAAUCUUCGGCAAUGGACGAAAGUCUGACCGAGCAACGCCUCGUGAGUGAAGAAGGUUUUCGGAUCGUAAAACUCUGUUGUUAGAGAAGAACAAGGACGUUAGUAACUGAACGUCCCCUGACGGUAUCUAACCAGAAAGCCACGGCUAACUACGUGCCAGCAGCCGCGGUAAUACGUAGGUGGCAAGCGUUGUCCGGAUUUAUUGGGCGUAAAGCGAGCGCAGGCGGUUUCUUAAGUCUGAUGUGAAAGCCCCCGGCUCAACCGGGGAGGGUCAUUGGAAACUGGGAGACUUGAGUGCAGAAGAGGAGAGUGGAAUUCCAUGUGUAGCGGUGAAAUGCGUAGAUAUAUGGAGGAACACCAGUGGCGAAGGCGGCUCUCUGGUCUGUAACUGACGCUGAGGCUCGAAAGCGUGGGGAGCAAACAGG